GUCGUACGCUGUUUGACAACGGAAGUGGUAGUGAUCGUGGGAUUUGGAUCAACACUAGUGAUUCAAUUUCGUAAUGGAAUUAAAAUCACUCGUUAGUUAGAUCGCGCGUAGCUCUGUUUUUGACGGAUCAGCGGAGUAGUGUUACUGAGAGUCAAGCGAGCGAAGGCAUGUGGGGGAUGCCUGGGCACACGGAGGCGAGGAAGGCCGUGGUAAGCUGCGAUAAGCCGGGGGGAGGAGCACACAUCCGGUGAGCCCCGGAUGGCCGAAUGGGGAA
rnacentral:misc_RNA from 1 species